rnacentral:rRNA from 1 species
UACGAAGGGGGCUAGCGUUGCUCGGGAUCACUGGGCGUAAAGGGUGCGUAGGCGGGUCUUUAAGUCAGGGGUGAAAUCCUGGAGCUCAACUCCAGAACUGCCUUUGAUACUGAGGAUCUUGAGUCCGGGAGAGGUGAGUGGAACUGCGAGUGUAGAGGUGAAAUUCGUAGAUAUUCGCAAGAACACCAGUGGCGAAGGCGGCUCACUGGCCCGGUACUGACGCUGAGGCACGAAAGCGUGGGGAGCAAACAGG